rnacentral:lncRNA from 1 species
CUUUGAUCUCCACAAGCUCUUAUCAUAACCCAGACUAUCCUUUCUAUUGAUAAUAACUCUUUCAACCAGUUGCCAAUCAGAAACAUUUAAAAUUUACCUAUAACCUGGAAGCACCCCCUGCACCCUCCCUCACUUCUAGAUGUCCUGCCUUUCUGGACUGAACCGAUGUAUAUCUUAAAUGUAUUUGAUCGAUGUCUCAUGUCUCCCUAAAAAUGUAUGAAACCAAGCUGCACCCCGACCACCUUGGCUACAUGUUCUCAGGAGCUCCUGAGGGUCGGUGUCACAGGCUGUGGUCACUCAUAUUUGGC